UACAGAGGUCUCAAGCGUUGUUCGGAUUCAUUGGGCGUAAAGGGUGCGUAGGUGGCGCGGAAAGUCGGGUGUGAAAUUUCGGAGCUUAACUCCGAAACUGCAUUCGAUACUUCCGUGCUUGAGGACUGGAGAGGAGACUGGAAUUUACGGUGUAGCAGUGAAAUGCGUAGAGAUCGUAAGGAAGACCAGUGGCGAGGGCGGGUCUCUGGACAGUUCCUGACACUGAGGCACGAAGGCCAGGGGAGCAAACGGG
rnacentral:rRNA from 1 species